AACGAACGCUGGCGGCAUGCCUAACACAUGCAAGUCGAACGAGACCUUCGGGGCUAGUGGCGCACGGGUGCGUAACGCGGGGGAACCUGCCCGUAGGUUCGGAAUAACGCCCCGAAAGGGGUGCUAAGACCGGAUAAUGUCUUCGGACCAAAGAUUUAUCGCCUUUGGAGGGGCCCGCGUUGGAUUAGCGAGGUGGUAGGGUAAAAGCCUACCAAGGCGACGAGCCAUAGCUGGUCAGAGAGGAUGCCCAGCCACGCUGGGACUGCGACACGGCCCAGACCCCUACGGGAGGCAGCAGUGGGGAGUAUUGGACAAUGAGCCAAAGCCUGAUCCCGCCACGCCGCGUGAGUGAUGCAGGCCUUAGGGUUGUCAAGCUCUUUUACCCGGGAUGAUAAUGACAGUACCGGGAGAAUAAGCUCCGGCUAACUCCGUG
rnacentral:rRNA from 1 species